CCGAGUUUACAACUCCCAAACCCCUGUGAACAUACCUAUACUGUUGCCUCGGCGGAUCAGCCCGCGCCCCGUAAAACGGGACGGCCCGCCGCAGGAUCCACAAACUCUGUUUUUAUUGUAACUUCUGAGUAACAAAACAAAUAAAUCA
rnacentral:misc_RNA from 1 species